AUCCACGUCGGCCCCGUGCUCCGCCUCCGGUCGCCGGCGGCGGAGGCGCUGGGGCCGACCCACGUCCUCCACUCCCGCUACGCCACCAAGCCCGACCUGGCGGCGUACGCGGCGCACCCGGCGCACGUCGCCGCCGUGCAGGGGCACGUCCUCCCCAACGCGCUCGACACCACCGCCAUCGACUGGGUCAACGCCGCGCUCGCGCCGUCCCCGGUCACCCCGGGCUCCGCCGUGCGGCUCACGCUGGCGAAGGUGAAGGAAGGUGUGGAGGUGCCCCAGCUCGUGGAGAAGGUCGCCGCGGCGACGGCGGCGGCGGGCGAGGCGAAGGGCGCCAGGGUGAGCUUCGGGGAGAACUUCUCCCCCGCGCGGGCUAAGGGGUACCAGUUCGGGAUGGUGGCGGUGUUCGACAGCGUGGAGGAGCUCGACGCGGUGGAGGGGGACGGGAAGGUGCAGGAGGCCAAGGCGGCGGUGAGGCCACUGCUCGACGAGGUGCUCGUGCUGGACUUCGUCGUCGGACCUGCCGCCGUGGAGGCUCCGGCGCCGGCCAACCUCUGAGAGGUUUGCCUUCGGUUUGGAAACUCUUAGUUGCCUUGUUCAAUCGAUCGAGAAUAAUGCAAUCCUUGUGAUUGGGUGUGCUGCUGCUGCUGUGGCGUGUGAUUGGCAAUGGCAAUUGAUUUUGGAAUGAAUAAGAAUUGUACCUGACUACCUGAACUAGGAAUUAGGAUGGCCGCUCUUGCUUGGAUCGUCGUGUACCAAGAAAGAGCUUGCUGCCUUCAGUGUUCAUCUUUCUCUUGUCGCGCUGCCUACAAAUGUGCAUGUCAGAUAGUCUUGUUAACCACAACUCGGUGCUAUGCCUCUCAUGCCUCCCCAUUAAGCAUGAAGGAACCACUGACAUGCCACUGGACAAUCUUUUAGUAUCAUGCACCCGUAGAAGUAUUUUAGUCUUGCUCCAAUUCUGCCUUGUGAAAUCCUCAUAGGCAUGAUUUAUGGAACAUGUGCCUUUGUGAUUGUAGAGUAUUAUACGCAAUAAUCGCUGUUGUCGGAAUCGGAUGUCCGGGUUACUACAUUUUGAGCAGUUUUGAUGACUUUGGCCAUGUUAAAGUUGAGGAGGUCAGUCCAUUCAAUAGUACAGAGGACCUUUUUUUAGUGGUAAUAGUGAUCUUGCUGAACGCAUCAGGUUUGACAGUAAUAGUUUUGGUCAUUCAUUCCUAUUGAGAUCGACUAUCUUGCUGAAUGAAACUGAUUACAUAAUUUCUCAUUGUGAUUUUAACAGCUCUAGAAUUGUUGCACGUGGUAUUGCCCUCGAUGACUCUCAGCUUGAUGACCAUUCUGAAAGUGAUAGUUCUAGUAUAGGCACUGCAGCACAACCAUCCCCAAUUAGGAACAGUCCUUCAAGAAGCUUGAGUUUUUCUCAUUUGUCAAGGUUGAGAGGCAGAGUUCAUACCUUGUGGGAAUGGGUUCUUCGGAAAUGGCCUUCGGUAUGAAAUUAUUCUAAUUUGUGUUUGCCAUCCUUUUCUUAUAGCAGAAAAACUCUCUUGAUUUAGUCAUAGGGAAAUGUUUCUGUAGAGUUAAGGUUGUAGUAACACUAUGAAAAUGCAUUUCUUGCCUAACAUCUAUAUAAUCUUAUGUUUGACACAUCAUGUAAAUUUUGGAAUGAGUUUGAGGACCAAUAAGUUUUGAUAGAUAGGGUGACGAGUAACAAAUGAAGAGUUCUGUUUCUUAGUACUGCUCAGUGGCUAAAGUCAUGAAACCUGAACUUAUUGUGAGGCAAUUAGAAAAAUUAAAUUACCAUAAUACAACUUAUUGGUAAAUACCAACCCAGUUUAUCAUAACAUCUAACAGAACAUCUCCAGUGAAUUGUGCAAUUCACUGUCAUAUGAGAACUCUAUCAUACUCUACUCAAUUGAAAUUGCUACGUCCAUUUCAAUCAUUUAUUUCAUUUAUGGUAGGAUGCAACACCAUGAUACUAUCAAGCCUUAAUUAAUUGAUGGCUUAGUUAGAGUUGGUCUUAUAUUCUUUUUUUAUCACCUCAAUUGAAUCUGUAGUAACUGUUUGAUAUUUGAUUACACUUGGACGUUUCCAAUUUGUUGCAGGAUUGUAUUAUCAUUUACCAAAGCGAGCAGCUGGCAUUCGUUAUGUAUUCAUUGGGAAGCCAAUGAUUCAGAGGCCCAGGUACUCUCCUUUAUUUUGCUCAUCUAGGAGUACCUUUUAUACUACGGCCGAGUUUAGUUCCAAACUUUUUCUUCAAACCUCCAACUUUUCCAUCACAUCAAAACUUUUCUACACACACAAACUUCUAACUUUUCUGUCACAUUGUUCCAAUUUCAACCAAACUUCCAAUUUUGGCGUGAACAUGAAACAUAUCAUACAAACAUUAGACUAUGAAACACCUGCAAUAAAUGAGUUUGAGAAUGCAGAUGAUGAGUCUUUUCAUGAUCUACAGUUUUUUUUGGACAUCUUCACAUGUUUUACUUCCCUUUGGGAGCUUAAAAUUCUCCAGCAGAUCAUAUUUAACUCAUCGGAUUUUGCAGGUAUCAAAUCUUGGGUAUUUUUUUGUUAAUUCAGUUAUGUAUUCUCGGUGCUGAAAGGCUUCGAAGAAGUAAUUUAUCAACAAUUGCUAGUUCGAUUAAUCAAAUCUCAUCUGGAAGCUAUCCUUCAUCGAGAGGUGGCACUUUCUUUUUCUGAAUUUAUGAAACCGGUUUUGGUUUUAUGCCAAUGCUUUGUGUUUACUUGUUACAUGGGUAUAAAAUGUUCCAAUAUUACCUUUGUGAAUGGGAAACAGGUCGAGGUGUCACAUCGAAUAUUUGGACACAUGCAUGGAGUAUUAAAUAUAUAUAAAAAAAUUAAUUACACAGAAUACAUGUAAAUUGCGAGACAAAUCUUUUAAGUCUAAUUGCUCCAUGAUUUAACAAUAUGGUGCUAUAGUAAACAUUUGCUAAUAACGGAUUAAUUAUGUUUAAUAAAUUCGUCUCGUAGUUUAUAGGCAGAACCUGUAAUUUGUUUUGUUAUUAGUCUUCAUCUCAUACUUCAAAUAUUUGUCCGUAUAUUCAAUGUGACAUGCUAAAACUUUUCACCCCUAAACUACACAGGGCCUUUAGGCUGUGUUCGCGGGAGGAUGUUCCCAACCAGCCGUUAGCGCACGGAAAACGGAACGAUCUAUUAGCACGUGAUUAAUUAAGUAUUAGCUAAUUUUUUUUUAAAAAAUGGAUCAAUAUGAUUUUUUAAGCAACUUUCGUAUAAAAACUUUUUGCAAAAAACAUACCGUUUAGCAGUUUGAAAAACAUGCGCGCGGAAAACGAGGGAGAUGAGUUGUGAAACUUGGGUAAGAACACACCCUUAAUUAAUCUCGCGUUAAUAGACCGCUCCGUUUUCCGUGCUAACUGUUCCGGUUGGGAACUGGAAAUAGCGAACACAAUCUUAGGGUGUGUUUAGUUCACGCCAAAAUUGAAAGUUUGGUUGAAAUUGGAACAAUGUGAUAGAAAAGUUGAAAGUUUAUGUGUGUAGAAAAAUUUUGAUGUGAUGAAAAAGUUAAAAGUUCGAAGGAAAAGUUUGGAACUAAGUCCUCAGUAGAGUUGGAGUGUGGCAAAGCAAAAGACCGAACCUGUUUGUCACAGGUGCCACCAACCCUCUCAUCCGGCGGCUGCCCAACAGAGAAUCCAGCAUGGUUUCUCGGUUUCUCCAUCCUUUUCCCAUUUUGAAUGCAAUCCACCUCAAAUUUCUCUCUCCCGUAACGCCAUCCAUGACGCCGGCUUUGCUCUGCCCGUACACAAACAGCCAUACUAUACUACCAGCAAGUUACUAUGGAGUACUUGCAAACCACUACUCCAUCCAUUCCAACUUGCUUCAUCUUCAUCUUUCCCACCUCCAUCACCUCACCAACAGCACCAGCGCAGGUCGCUGUCUCCGAAAUAUCAUUUCGUUUUUAAUUAUCUUUUCCUCCCCUUCGCUAAUCACCAUGAUUUGCCUCCGAGCCGCCUUCCCCUUGACCUCCUCCCCUCUCCGCCGCCUCGCCCUCAAGCCCUCCUCCUCCCGCGCCGCCGCCGCCGCCAUGUCGUCCGCCAUCGCCGCGCCGGUCGAGCACAUCGUGCUCAUCAAGGUCCGCCCGGAGGCGGCGUCGUCGGGCGCCGCCGCGGCGAUGGUGUCAUCGCUGCAGGCGCUGUCCACGGCGGUGCCCGGGCUGUCGUACAUCCACGUCGGCCCCGUGCUCCGCCUCCGGUCGCCGGCGGCGGAGGCGCUGGGUCCGACCCACGUCCUCCACUCCCGCUACGCCACCAAGCCCGACCUGGCGGCGUACGCGGCGCACCCGGCGCACGUCGCCGCCGUGCAGGGGCACGUCCUCCCCAACGCGCUCGACUCCACCGCCAUCGACUGGGUCAACGCCGCCCUGGUGCCGUCCCCGGUGAACCCGGGCUCCGCCGUGCGGCUCUCCCUGGCGAAGUUGAAGGAGGGUGUGGAGGCGCACCAGCUCGCGGAGAAG
rnacentral:lncRNA from 1 species